AUCCUCAGAACCUGGUGCCAUCACAGGCUCUCCUUGAGGUCUGCUGAAUGAGGAUAACGCCUAACCAACAUCCCAGGGUUCAGAAUUAUCAGCCUGCUGACCCUGCAGGGCCUUACCCCGGUUGUCAAGACUACCUCCCAGUUUCCUGACCACAUGUUGAAACCUGAGGUUAAGUAAAGUUGAUCUGCAGGCUGAGGCUGGGCUGCAAUCUUCUAGGAGGUUAUAUCAGCUCAUUCUAACACUGUGCAGUGCAUAGUUUCAGCCUCAUCGGUGAUAACCUUGCUCUGCUGCCCAGAGCUGAUAAGAAACAUCACCCAGGGAGGAUGAAUGCCUCUUCUUCUAAUCAGAAUGAAAAUAUUGCUAAAUAUAUUCAUAAUUCUUUGCAAACAUCAUUGGAUACUGUUCGGGAUAUGUUUUUGAGUUCCCUAUCACCGUCUCACAAAGUUGUACCCUUCAAGAUCAGCUCUAGACCAUCAGUCUGAGAGUUACUCUUUAGAAUCAGGAACAGGAAUCAAAGACAAAAAGAAGAUAACAUUGUUCCUAGAACUUGUUAAAGAAGACUAAGAAAUUGGGGAUGUUAGUGAUUUUUAAGUAUCUGUCUUUAAUUCCCUUUCCUCACCCCAAAGUGAACUGAGAACAGGGACAGAAACAUGUAAUGCAAAGAUGAUUAGGGUUAAGUGGAAAACUACCCAUCUGGACUGAAGGAAGGCUUGGCAAAAUAUAAAUAUGAAAAGGACUUUCUAAUCCCCGGGUCACAACAAUUUUCAAGUCUGUAAGGAUCAUUUCUGAGAAACUGUUGAGGGUUGAAGAAGAGUCAGAAAGCUAAAAAGUAACCCAUUUCCCAAUGGCUCUGAAGGAAGAUGCAAAAAGAAGAUGCCAUUGCACAAAAAACACCUAAAUUUGGCAAGAGAACUUCUUUAUAGGAAAGUGAGCAAGUAGAUCUGCUAAACAAGAUAUCUGCUUCAGGACUCAGAUGCUCUGAGGUACACAAAAUCUUCAGAGUGAAGGCUGAAGAUAGCCACAGACGGCAGCUGCUGGCGGUGUGCAGCCUGUAACCUGCGCUGGAUCACCCUCAGCAGCUUCCCACACAGUUUCCAAGUGAUGAAUAGAAACAGCCAUGGCAGAUGCACCCUGCCACCCAACCUGGGAGCCCAUCGGACACCUGGUGGCCAAAAUAACAGGCCUGCCUAAGCUUUACCAGGCUUACCUACAGGCAAACUUGGGAGCUGGGGAGGGUCAUGGUUCUGCAUAGUACACAGUCUCUGGAUUUCCUCUCUCUACCAAUUACCAUCCAUAUAGCUCAGAAGUCACAAGUUGGAAGCCUGUGAAGCAGACUCAAUCAUAAUAUACAUUGUUUGGUUUGAAUAGUGCUUAAGCAUUUAAAAUAUUAGCUCUCAAUUUUUAACUAUUAGGUAGUGUCGUAUACGGAGAAGGCAAUGGUGCCCCACUCCAGGAUGCCCACAUGCCCACAGGAUGGAGGAGCCUGGUGGGCUGCAGUCCA
ensembl:lncRNA